AGCUUUGCGCAGUGGCAGUAUUAUAACCAAUGAGGUUUAUCCAAGGUGCGAUUAUUGCUAAUUGAAAAUUUAUUCAUUGUAAAAUGUAUUACUUGUGUAUUUAAAAAGAAUAUAGAGAAAGGAGACUAUUAUUCAUCUCAAUGUAG